rnacentral:rRNA from 1 species
GUGAGGAAUUUUCCGCAAUGGGCGAAAGCCUGACGGAGCAAUGCCGCGUGAAGGAUUGACGGCCCUAUGGGUUGUAAACUUCUUUUGUAUAGGAAUAAACCCUCGUUCGUGAACGAGGCUGAAGGUACUAUAAGAAUAAGCACCGGCUAACUCCGUGCCAGCAGCCGCGGUAAUACGGAGGGUGCAAGCGUUAUCCGGAUUUAUUGGGUUUAAAGGGUCCGUAGGCGGCUCGUUAAGUCAGUGGUGAAAUCCUACCGCGCAACGGUAGAACUGCAAUGGAUACUGGCGAGCUUGAGUAUGUAUGAAGUUGGCGGAAUGUGUGGUGUAGCGGUGAAAUGCUUAGAUAUCACACAGAACACAGAUUGCGAAGGCAGCUGACUAAUACACAACUGACGCUGAGGGACGAAAGUGUGGGGAUCAAACAGGAUUAGAAACCCCAGUAGUCC